rnacentral:rRNA from 1 species
GACGAACGCUGGCGGCGUGCUUAACACAUGCGAGUCGAACGGAAAGGCCCUGCUUUUGUGGGGUGCUCGAGUGGCGAACGGGUGAGUAACACGUGAGUAACCUGCCCUUGACUUUGGGAUAACUUCAGGAAACUGGGGCUAAUACCGGAUAGGAGCUCCUGCUGCAUGGUGGGGGUUGGAAAGUUUCGGCGGUUGGGGAUGGACUCGCGGCUUAUCAGCUUGUUGGUGGGGUAGUGGCUUACCAAGGCUUUGACGGGUAGCCGGCCUGAGAGGGUGACCGGCCACAUUGGGACUGAGAGACGGCCCAGACUCCUACGGGAGGCAGCAGGGGGGAAUAUUGCACAGUGGGCGGAAGCCUGAUGCAGCAACGCCGCGUUCGGGAUGACGGCCUUCGGGUUGUAAACCGCUUUCGCCUGUGACGAAGCGUGAGUGACGGUAAUGGGUAAAGAAGCACCGGCUAACUACGUG